UGACCCCGCCCUGUGCCAGCCUCUGCCUGCAGGGGGCGCUCUCUGCCCUGCACCGCAGCCAAUCCCCUUCCUGCUCCCGCUUCUGCCGCGCCCUCAUUGGCUGCCUCGGCCAGGACGGCCCCGCCCACGGCCGCAGCCCUCUGCUGACGUCACUGCAGGACCCGGAGCGGUCCCGCCUCCUGGAGGCGGCCAUGACAGUCCUGGACCCCGCGGGGCUCCGGGAGCUCUUCCGGGAUCACCUGAAAGGUCACGUGAGGGGCGUGGCCUCGCACCGAGUGGCCAAUCACGGCCUGCAGCGCCUCCUGGGCCACGCCCCCGAGGACGUGGUGUCGGAGGUGCUGUCGGAGCUGGGCCCUGCCCUGGAGGAGCCGCUGGCCCGGGGCCACCCUGGGGU